rnacentral:misc_RNA from 1 species
UGAAAUCUCUGACUUGACCUC